AUUUGCUCAGUUGAUCUUUGAGUUUCUUGGGCUUCACUUCGACAUUGAAGACUAAUAUCUUGAGAGAAACUUUUUGAAAUUGAAAGGUGGAACAAACUUACAAGACAUGAUAAAAAAUAUAUUCAAAGCAUUAAUAAAAGAUGAAAUAUUAAUGUUAUAUAGCUGGAAAGGAGCUCGAGGAAAAAAUGCAUUCUGAAGUUUUAAAACUGUCAUCUUAAUCAUAGCUGUUGUCCGAUUACACGAUGCAACUUCAACCGAGGAAAUAAUUAUAAAAUUAUGAUCAAUUGGAUCGUUCAAGCUCCUGCUCGUGUUCAAAGAAUUGCAAAUAAAUCAAAAAAUCAAACUGAUCAAGAUCUUCAAGAUUCUCAAAAA